UAUGACCUCUAAAAGUUUUCAGAAUUCUGUUUGUUUAUGGAAUUCUGAAAGUUGAUGAUGUACCAUAGUGGAAUACUUUUACAUUUAUUGUACUGGGUAUUCCAAAGGCCCUUUUUAUCCAAAAACUCAUGUCUUUUAGUGCUGGAAAUUUUUCUUUUGUUAUUUUCAUAUUUUUCUUCCCCUUUUUUCUCUUUUCGCUUUCUGGAAUGCCUGUUGGUCAAAUGUCAGAUUUUCUGACUCAUUCUAUACAAUUAGAAAGCACACCCAAGUUUCACUGUGGAACUACUCCAGUGAGCCCUUCAGUGUGGUCAUCUCUGGGCAGAGAUACUAUAGAUUUACUGCUAACAUUGGGAAUUGGAAACUAGAAUCUCUUCUGAGAUUCUAAAAGCAGGGUGUUUCUGCUGCCAUCCUUGCUGCCCUUUGCCACAUGCUUCUUCACUUUAUGUGUUUUCAAAUCACAGUUGCCCAUGGGUGUGUCUGAUGAGGGAAAGGUCACAUACCUGUACCCUAGCUGCAAAAGAGCUGGAGAUUUCAGGCUCGUUGUUAAGGGUCUGCGGAUUCAUAAGGUCAGAAAUUCCAUGAACACAGAAAAAGUAUUCAAAAGGUACUCAGCAGCUAGUGAAUUCAACUGGGGACAGUUGGAACUUCAGGAUGUUUGAUGACUGGGGAGAGGGUCUUUGUUAAGAAAAAGCAAUAAUAUGAAAUAUUAAUGCUUUCCAAUUUUAUCAAGAUGAUAGCAUUUUUGUGUACUGAAUUACAUGCAUAUUACAUACAUAAUAAAAUUGUAAAACUCUGUCGUUUGUUUUCUUUGCUUGUUUUUUGUUUGUUUGGUUUGAGGUUUUUUUUUUUUUUUUUAACUUA
rnacentral:lncRNA from 1 species